rnacentral:rRNA from 1 species
GACGAACGCUGGCGGCGUGCCUAAUACAUGCAAGUCGAACGCUUCUUUCCUCCCGAGUGCUUGCACUCAAUUGGAAAGAGGAGUGGCGGACGGGUGAGUAACACGUGGGUAACCUACCCAUCAGAGGGGGAUAACACUUGGAAACAGGUGCUAAUACCGCAUAACAGUUUAUGCCGCAUGGCAUAAGAGUGAAAGGCGCUUUCGGGUGUCGCUGAUGGAUGGACCCGCGGUGCAUUAGCUAGUUGGUGAGGUAACGGCUCACCAAGGCCACGAUGCAUAGCCGACCUGAGAGGGUGAUCGGCCACACUGGGACUGAGACACGGCCCAGACUCCUACGGGAGGCAGCAGUAGGGAAUCUUCGUCAAUGGACGAAAGUCUGACCGAGCAACGCCGCGUGAGUGAAGAAGGUUUUCGGAUCGUAAAACUCUGUUGUUAGAGAAGAACAAGGACGUUAGUAACUGAACGUCCCCUGACGGUAUCUAACCAGAAAGCCACGGCUAACUACGUG